GUGAACAACUAAGGGCGCGCGGUGGAUGCCUAGGCUCUCGGAGGCGAUGAAGGACGCGAUAAGCCGCGAUAGGCCACGGCGAGGUGCAAGUAACCCUUGACCCGUGGAUUUCCGAAUGGGGCAACCCGGCCGUCUAGAUGACGGUCAUGCAGUAAUGCAAGCGAACGCGGGGAACUGAAACAUCUCAUUACCCGCAGGAGAAGAAAACAAAAUGUGAUUCCCCCAGUAGUGGCGAGCGAACGGGGAAGAGCCCAAACCGUUGCCGUUUCGGCGACAGCGGGGUCAUGGGACCGCGACAUUCGACGGAAGACGAAGUGCAAUUACCUGGAAAGGUAAGCCGUGGAGGGUGAUAGCCCCGUGCACGACACCUCCAUCUAAGAUAGCGGUAUCCCGAGUAGGGCGGGACACGAGAAAUCCUGCCUGAAUUCGCCAGGACCUCCUGGCAAGGCUAAAUACUCCCGAGAGACCGAUAGUGAACCAGUACCGCGAGGGAAAGGUGAAAAGUACCCCGAGCAGGGGGGUGAAAUAGACCCUGAACCCGCGCGCCUACAAGCGGUCGGAGCCAUGAAAUAUGGUGACGGCGUGCCUUUUGCAUAAUGAGCCUACGAGUUAGUCGUCACCAGCGAGGUUAAGGGCUUCAGGCCCGUUAGCCGAAGUGAAAGCGAGCCUUAACAGGGCGUCGAGUUGGUGGCGCUAGACGCGAAACCUUGUGAUCUACCCACGAGCAGGUUGAAGUCGCGGUAACACGUGAUGGAGGACCGAACCGGUAAACGUUGAAAAGUUUUCGGAUGACUCGCGGGUAGGGGUGAAAGGCCAAUCAAACUGGGAAAUAGCUCGUACUCUCCGAAAUGCAUUUCGGUGCAGCCUGUGAUGUUCUGUUCCAGAGGUAGAGCUACUGGUUGGACGCGAGGGCUUCACCGCCUAUCAAAUCCGGAUAAACUCCGAAUGCUGGAACACGAAAUCAUGGAGUGAGCCCGCGGGUGCUAAGGUCCGCGGACGAGAGGGAAAGAACCCGGACCACCGGCUAAGGUCCCGGAUGGACAGUUAAGUUGAUCAAACGAGGUGGGAUCGCUGAGACAGCUAGGAUGUUGGCUUGGAAGCAGCCAUUCAUUUAAAGAGUGCGUAACAGCUCACUAGUCGAGCGAUCCCGCGUGGAUAAUACACGGGCAUCAAACUGUCAACCGAAGCCGUGGGGUUAGUGAUGAGCUAACCGGUAGGAGAGCAUUCCUGCCAGCUUUGAAGGUCACCCGCGAGAGUGACUGGAGCGGCAUGAAAAGCAAAUGUAGGCAUAAGUAACGAUAAUGGGGGCGAGAACCCCCCACGCCGCAAGACCAAGGAUUCCCCGGCAAUGUCAAUCAGCCGGGGGUCAGCCGGCCUCUAAGGCUCACCCGAGGGGGGAUGCCGACGAGAAACGGGUUAACAUUCCCGUGCUUCUCGUCACCGUGACGCGGUGACGGGGUGAUGAAUGGACCGCGCGCUGACGGAAUAGCGCGUUGAAGGCCGUACCCUAUGACGGUGGUAGUCAAGCACGCCACCGGAGGCGAAAGUCGAUAGUACCUCGAGGCCUCGGCCGAGGGGAUAGCGUCCAGGCAAUUUACCCCCUAGAAAACCCGCUAAACUUCAAGUGACGAGGAACCGUACUGUAAACGGACACACGUGGUCGGGUAGAACAUACCAAGGCGCUCGAGUGAUUCAUGGUCAAGGAACUAGGCAAAAUAGUCCUGUAACUUAGGGAAAAAGGACGCUCUAGUGAUAGAGCCGCAGAGUAAUGGCCCAGGCGACUGUUUACCAAAAACACAUGGCUAUGCCAAAUCGAAAGAUGACGUAUAUGGCCUGACACCUGCCCGGUGCCGGAAGGUUAAGAGGAGAGCUCAUCGGAAACGAGAAGGUUUGAAUUGAAGCCCCGGUAAACGGCGGCCGUAACUAUAACGGUCCUAAGGUAGCGAAAUUCCUUGUCGGGUAAGUUCCGACCUGCACGAAUGGUGUAACGAUCUGGGCACUGUCUCGACCAUGAGCUCGGUGAAAUUGUAGUUCCGGUGAAGAUGCCGGGUACCCGCGACGGGACGGAAAGACCCCGUGAACCUUUACUGCAGCUUCGCGUUGUUCCCGGGCACGGGACGUGUAGGAUAGGUCGGAGGCCAUGAAGCGGUUUCGCCAGGAAUCGUGGAGCCAUCGUUGAAAUACGACCCUUCUCUUGUCUGGGAUCUAACCCAUGGUAAUGGGGACACCGCGUGGUGGGUAGUUUGACUGGGGUGGUCGCCUCCAAAAGCGUAAC
rnacentral:rRNA from 1 species